GACGAACGCUGGCGGCGUGCCUAAUACAUGCAAGUCGAACGAACUCUGGUAUUGAUUGGUGCUUGCAUCAUGAUUUACAUUUGAGUGAGUGGCGAACUGGUGAGUAACACGUGGGAAACCUGCCCAGAAGCGGGGGAUAACACCUGGAAACAGAUGCUAAUACCGCAUAACAACUUGGACCGCAUGGUCCGAGUUUGAAAGAUGGCUUCGGCUAUCACUUUUGGAUGGUCCCGCGGCGUAUUAGCUAGAUGGUGGGGUAACGGCUCACCAUGGCAAUGAUACGUAGCCGACCUGAGAGGGUAAUCGGCCACAUUGGGACUGAGACACGGCCCAAACUCCUACGGGAGGCAGCAGUAGGGAAUCUUCCACAAUGGACGAAAGUCUGAUGGAGCAACGCCGCGUGAGUGAAGAAGGGUUUCGGCUCGUAAAACUCUGUUGUUAAAGAAGAACAUAUCUGAGAGUAACUGUUCAGGUAUUGACGGUAUUUAACCAGAAAGCCACGGCUAACUACGUGCCAGCAGCCGCGGUAAUACGUAGGUGGCAAGCGUUGUCCGGAUUUAUUGGGCGUAAAGCGAGCGCAGGCGGUUUUUUAAGUCUGAUGUGAAAGCCUUCGGCUCAACCGAAGAAGUGCAUCGGAAACUGGGAAACUUGAGUGCAGAAGAGGACAGUGGAACUCCAUGUGUAGCGGUGAAAUGCGUAGAUAUAUGGAAGAACACCAGUGGCGAAGGCGGCUGUCUGGUCUGUAACUGACGCUGAGGCUCGAAAGUAUGGGUAGCAAACAGGAUUAGAUACCCUGGUAGUCCAUACCGUAAACGAUGAAUGCUAAGUGUUGGAGGGUUUCCGCCCUUCAGUGCUGCAGCUAACGCAUUAAGCAUUCCGCCUGGGGAGUACGGCCGCAAGGCUGAAACUCAAAGGAAUUGACGGGGGCCCGCACAAGCGGUGGAGCAUGUGGUUUAAUUCGAAGCUACGCGAAGAACCUUACCAGGUCUUGACAUACUAUGCAAAUCUAAGAGAUUAGACGUUCCCUUCGGGGGCAUGGAUACAGGUGGUGCAUGGUUGUCGUCAGCUCGUGUCGUGAGAUGUUGGGUUAAGUCCCGCAACGAGCGCAACCCUUAUUAUCAGUUGCCAGCAUUAAGUUGGGCACUCUGGUGAGACUGCCGGUGACAAACCGGAGGAAGGUGGGGAUGACGUCAAAUCAUCAUGCCCCUUAUGACCUGGGCUACACACGUGCUACAAUGGAUGGUACAACGAGUUGCGAACUCGCGAGAGUAAGCUAAUCUCUUAAAGCCAUUCUCAGUUCGGAUUGUAGGCUGCAACUCGCCUACAUGAAGUCGGAAUCGCUAGUAAUCGCGGAUCAGCAUGCCGCGGUGAAUACGUUCCCGGGCCUUGUACACACCGCCCGUCACACCAUGAGAGUUUGUAACACC
rnacentral:rRNA from 1 species